rnacentral:rRNA from 1 species
UACGUAGGGGGCAAGCGUUGUCCGGAAUCAUUGGGCGUAAAGCGCGCGUAGGCGGCCAGAUAAGUCCGGUGUGAAAGUCACAGGCUCAACCUGUGAAUGCCGCUGGAAACUGUCUGGCUUGAGUCCGGAAGGGGCGAGUGGAAUUCCUGGUGUAGCGGUGAAAUGCGCAGAUAUCAGGAGGAACACCGGUGGCGAAGGCGGAUCUCUGGGCCUUACCUGACGCUCAGGUGCGAAAGCUAGGGGAGCGAACAGG